rnacentral:sRNA from 1 species
GGGCAGAGCGCGUGUGGCGGCCGAGCACAUGGGCCCGCGGGCCGGGCGGGCUCGGGGCGGCCGGGACGAGGAGGGGCGACGACGAGCUGCGAGCAAAGAUGUGCCCCGGGACCCCCGGCACCUUCCAGUGGAUUUCCUUGCGGAAAGGAUGUUGGCGGUCCCUGUGACCUGUGGAGACACGGCCAGAUCUGCCCUCCAGCCUGAUCUUUUGGCCAGAAGGAGAUUAAAAAGAUGCCCCUCAAGAUGGCUGUGCCUGUCAGCUGCAUGGAGCUUCGUUCAAGUAUUUUCUGAGCCUGAUGGAUUUACAGUGAUCUUCAGUGGUCUGGGGAAUAACGCUGGUGGAACCAUGCACUGGAAUGACACACGCCCGGCACAUUUCAGGAUACUAAAAGUGGUUUUAAGGGAGGCUGUGGCUGAAUGCCUCAUGGAUUCUUACAGCUUGGAUGUCCAUGGGGGACGAAGGACUGCAGCUGGCUGAGAGGGUUGAGAUCUCUGUUUACUUAGAUCUCUGCCAACUUCCUUUGGGUCUCCCUAUGGAAUGUAAGACCCCGACUCUUCCUGGUGAAGCAUCUGAUGCACGUUCCAUCCGGCGCUCAGCUGGGCUUGAGAAUCCUGUUACACCUGGGAUUUAGGCACUUUCAAUCUGAAAAAAUACAUAUCCUUUCAGCACUCUGGACGGACUUGAGAACUGUCCUUACGUGACCUAAAGCUGGAGUAUUUUGAGAUUGGAGAAUUAAGGCCAACAGAGAUUUUGAGAAACACAUUGAAGGAUCUGUUAACACUUGAUAUACCCAAUAAAAGCAGUGGUUGUGCCAGUGCUGAUCUGUCUUGAUGUGAAUGUGAACAAUGGGAACCUGAGCUGAGCAGUUAAUGUUAGGGUGACAGAAACUGGACCUCUCCCAAGACAUGUGACAGAGUAAUACAGCAGCCAACUUCUUCGCCAAAUUAAAGUUUUACAAGAUUUAACCUGUCAUCAAGACCUGGGAUUUUGGUGAGCCAGUCUUGGUGCUCUGUGUUCACCUGGUUCAUCUGAGGAGCUGCAUCUACCCUGCCCAUGCCAUAGAUCCUGCCCUGUUUGCUUCUCCUGUUGCUGCUAGUGGACAUGAGGUAACCACAGCCUAGUUCUGUGAUAAGCUCUUCACACCUGUACCCAUAUGGACUGUGGGAGAGUUUCUCUGAUAUGGACUGUGAUGCGGAAGGACAGAAUAACGGGCUCCCAGAUUCACAAGCCCCACCAAGAGGAUCACCCCAGGAAUGCUUGGAGGCUGAGGAGUUCACUGAGGCUACUGCAUCUUGAGACUCAGGAUGAAGACCCAGCUUGGGGCUGUCAAAGGUUUUUUGCAUGUCUGACACCCAUGACUCCACCUGGACCUUAUGGCUCCACCCAGAAGCAAUUCAGCCCAACAGGAGGACAGCUUCAACCCAUUACGAUUUCAUCUCUGCCCCAACCACUCAGCAGCAAGCACCUGUUACCUGUCCAUCCCCACCCCUUCCCCCAAACUGCCUUUGAAAAAUCCCUAACCUAUGAGCUUUGAAUAAGAUGAGUACGAACUUCAUCGCCCAUGUGGCGUGGCCGGCCUCGUGUCUAUUAAAUUCUUUUUCUACUACAA